CCCUGUUUAGUGGGUUUAGACAGGGAGGCCUAGCUAGAGAAAAUCAGGGGUCAGUCUCACAUAGGGGAAAGGCCCCAACAUACCCAAUACAAUAGGCAGCCUCCUGCUCGUAAGAACAUCAUCAUAAUUUCCAUCAAGAUGUGGCAGGCGAGUAUAGGGCGGGACAUAAGAACCCUAAAGAAGGAUCCAAGGGCACCCCACACAAGGCGCAGAGUACUAGGAAGAUGGCGCUGGGAAGGGCGACUUGUUACAAGGACCCAAUCCUAUGAACCUGUUAGCAUAUGCAUAAUUGAAGUAACCCUACAGUCACCUGAAGCUAUCACUCAGACAUGCUUGCAGGAAGGUGGUCUCAUUCUGGACUUUUAAGUCAAAACUACUUGACUGAAGGAAUAAGAAAAGCACCUGAUUUUAAAAAGUGCUAAUCAACUGUAUGCUCCACUGAAAUCAAUGGGAACAGCAGGUACUCAACACCUUCGAAGAAAAUCAGACCAAAAAAAUUAAACAGCUCUGUACAGAAGUUUAUGUUCCUACAGGCAAACACAAAGUGUACUUCUCCUCUGGAAAAGUGUGAAAUGAUUUUAUUAAAGCAACUAUUUCAACCUGGAUGGGUGACUGGAACUUUACAUGGCUAGAUUGCAUCAUCAUGCUGGAAGGACAGAAAGCACCUUUCUUAGUAGAUUUUAUUGAACUUAAAUGAUAGAGAUUAUUGUUUUAAAAAUAAAAUUCUAAGCUGUU